rnacentral:rRNA from 1 species
UGGGGAAUAUUGGACAAUGGGCGCAAGCCUGAUCCAGCCAUGCCGCGUGUGUGAAGAAGGUCUUCGGAUUGUAAAGCACUUUAAGUUGGGAGGAAGGGCAGUAAAUUAAUACUUUGCUGUUUUGACGUUACCGACAGAAUAAGCACCGGCUAACUCUGUGCCAGCAGCCGCGGUAAUACAGAGGGUGCAAGCGUUAAUCGGAAUUACUGGGCGUAAAGCGCGCGUAGGUGGUUUGUUAAGUUGGAUGUGAAAUCCCCGGGCUCAACCUGGGAACUGCAUCCAAAACUGGCAAGCUAGAGUAUGGUAGAGGGUGGUGGAAUUUCCUGUGUAGCGGUGAAAUGCGUAGAUAUAGGAAGGAACACCAGUGGCGAAGGCGACCACCUGGACUGAUACUGACACUGAGGUGCGAAAGCGUGGGGAGCAAACAGGAUUAGAUACCCUUGUAGUCCCUGAGCGGGCUGGCAAGGCGCAU